AUGAGCAAACCACUAGGUCCUAAAAGCCGUGGCCUCUCUACUUAUGAGAAGGAGUGCUUAGCAAUAUUGACGAUUGUUGAGAAGUGGAGACCGUCUCCGCAUACAUGCGAGUUUCUCAUUCGCACAGAUCAACGGAGUUUAUCACAUCUGGACGAUCAACGUCUCACCACUCCCUGGCAGCAAAAAGCAUUUACUAAACUCCUUGGACCGAGGUACAAAAUCAGCUACCACCAGGGGACUGCUAAUGGAACCGCAGAUGCUCUGUCAUAUGGGCUGCACAAUUCUGCAAGCCUAUCCGCGAUCUCUGUCUGCAAGCCCGCUUAG
rnacentral:rRNA from 1 species